rnacentral:rRNA from 1 species
AGUGAACGCUGGCGGUAGGCCUAACACAUGCAAGUCGAACGGCAGCACAGGAGAGCUUGCUCUCUGGGUGGCGAGUGGCGGACGGGUGAGGAAUACAUCGGAAUCUACCUUUUCGUGGGGGAUAAUGUAGGGAAACUUACGCUAAUACCGCAUACGACCUACGGGUGAAAGUGGGGGACCGCAAGGCCUCACGCGAUUAGAUGAGCCGAUGUCCGAUUAGCUAGUUGGCGGGGUAAUGGCCCACCAAGGCGACGAUCGGUAGCUGGUCUGGGAGGAUGAUCGGCCACACUGGAACUGGGACACGGGCCAGACUCCUACGGGAGGCAGCAGUGGGGAAUAUUGGACAAUGGGCGCAAGCCUGAUCCAGCCAUACCGCGUGGGUGAAGAAGGCCUUCGGGUUGUAAAGCCCUUUUGUUGGGAAAGAAAUCCUAUCGGUUAAUAACCGGUGGGGAUGACGGUGCCCAAAGAAUAAGCACCGGCUAACUUCGUGCCAGCCGCCGCAGUAAUAC